GGCUCAGUAACAUGUAGUCAAUCUGCCCUUAGGACAGGAAUACCCACGGGAAACUGUGGCUAACUCCAGAUAGCCCAUCUAUGCUGGAAUGCUUGAUGGGUUAAAGUGACGGUGAAAUGGAGCCGUUUAGCCUAAGGAUGAGACUGCACCUGAUUAGGUAGUUGGUGAGGUAACGGCUCACCAAGCCGAUAAUCAGUAGGGGCAAUGGGAGUUGGAGCCCCGAGAAGGGCACUGAGACAAGGGCCCUAGUCCUACGGGAUGCAGCAGGCGCGAAACCUUUGCCAUGCGCGAAAGCGUGACAGGGGAAUUCCGAGUGGUAGAGGGGUUUACCUCUCUAUCUUUUGGCCAAUCCAAACAAUUGGCAGAAUAAGAUCUGGGUAAGACCAGUGCCAGCCGCCA
rnacentral:rRNA from 1 species